CAUUUGGCUCUGGACACUUGAACAAUUUAGUGUUGGAAAUAUGCAUUGAGCCUUCAGCUGCCAUGUGCUGUUCUAAUAAAAGACUAGCAUCUUCACUGUGUUGAAGAAGCAAUCUAGCACAUCAGUGUGAUCUAGUAUGUUGUCCAGGUGUUUUAAGUGCCAAUCUUGAUAAAGGUCCUCAUAUGGACCGAAACGUCGAUGAAAAACGGCAUCAACAGUGAACCUGAAUAAAAUAAAAUUGAAUCUACAAGUGAUUUCAGAGACUGAUUUCUGGGCCUCACAUCACAAUGCAGUCUAAGAAGACCUCCAUCUCCUUGGCAUCAGGAAACUCGCAACGCAAGAUAAAUGAGGAGUCAGCAUCACACAGCUGCAAUGAGACUGGGACGCGUGGGAAUUUCACUCAACAGAAGUGAAGCAACCUUUAACAAACGGCGCCUGAUCAAUAAUGCAGACUUUACCAUUGCCGAAUAAAAAGGCCUGUCUUACAAGUUAUGUCUGUGGAUAAUGUCAAAACCAUUUAUCAAGGGCCCAGAUGAUUAUCCCGCAGCUAUCUUUUGCUGAAAAUAUAAAACUUCAUUCUAUCCUGUCCAGGGACCGGACGAAUCCAACUGAGAAAAUCUCUCAUCAUUGUUCAUUUACCCUCCAGCAGCCAGUAUCGUUACACCAUCUCUGAGUGUUUGUGAUACCUUUUAUCCAACAUUGCUUAAUAUGCUGUGACAACUGUACACACAACUCCUUUUCCCAUUCAUUGAACAGACUGUUAGUGUAUUAAGAACAAGGUCCUGAUCUGUGCAUCUGGUAACGUUUAUGUGCUAGGAUUGGCCUAACCAUUGCACUUCAAGGUCUGCACUUCUACCCCAGGGAUUCAGGUGUAAUUUACACUAUCUAGGAGCUGGGUUUAUGAAUGCAGAUAUAGAAUCUUUCUGAAAGCUCAGUCCCCAUUGACUAUUGUAAUUUCCCCACAACACCAUGGAGAGCAGGGGUCAGACACACUGUUAAGGUGUUAACACACUCCUCCCAUCACACACCUCACUGAUUAUACUCUUGUGCCCCAUACACACAGGGCGAAUUGUCCUGUGUGCUGAGCGAUCUAUGCUAAGCAGUGUUUUUUAUGCAAAUGUUAGGCGAUCUAACUAGAUCUUGCCUGCAUGUGCUAAAGAUCUGAGUGGGCGACGGCGAUGUGCGGGACCAUGCAUCGCAAUCGCUAUGGGGUAAACACACAAAGUGCCAUCGCUAUGGGGUGUACACAUAGACAGAUCGCUUAGAAAAUAGGCAAAAAUUGUCCCGUGCGUAUGGGGCCUAACUCUUUCUCCGCACAUCUACAUGUGCUGUGCAAUCUGUCCAGGGUCCAGGUUCCUUCCACUAUACAGUAUAAUCAGGGGCCUAUCUAGCAUUCUGAUUUCUUCCAAAAAUCGUAAGAUAGUAAAAGAUCCAAAAGUCAGGAAUCUGCAGUGUCAGGGCAGUGUAUUAAAACUGUGUUGCAGGAGAUGCCAUAGAUGGGCUAAUUAUUGGGGAUGUAGUAAUACAUAAUACAAUGCAAUAGAAUAGUGUUGACAUUGAACAAGUAGCAGGUUCCUAUACCCCAUUAUUAUACCCUAACUCAUACCCCUUUCACACUGCAAAUGACGGAUCCCAUCCGGUAAUUGGAAACGGGUUCUUACCAGGUGGGACCAGGCAUUUGACCCAACACGCUGCCAUCCCGACCUGGCAUAUUGCCGGAUAGGUUGCUAUCCGGGAGAGGAGACGGCGUCAUCGGGGGCGGAUUCUCACCGACCCGGCAACCCGUACACACUGCCACUGACCGGGUAUUCAACCCGGGAAUAACCCUUCUUAUAACCCGGGUUGAAUUACCGGGUCAGAUGACCCGGUAAUUAUCCAUGGGCCUUUCACAUGGCACAGUGACCCGUGUCAACCCAGCAAUAUACCGGGUUGAUACCGGUUAUUUGUGCGAUGUGAAAGGGGUAUCACUGACUGCACUGUACAGUAUAUGAGUGACCCAGACUUACUGAUUGUAGCAAGCUCCACAGCUUAAAAUACUCAGUAUUAUCCCCUCUCACUUACUGACUACAUAUUAUAACAGAGUUUUAUAAUACCCAUUUUUACACCCCUCAGUCAGUGAUUGUAUUGAUUAUAUAUCAUUGCCCCCCCCCCCCCCCCCCCCACCACCACUGAUUGUAGUACCUGCUACAAUCAGUGAGAAGGGGGAGGCAUUAAUAUACAAUAGCUUCAAACUAAAGGUACUGAUAUAUAAUCAAUAUAUAUAUAAUAAAAUAUAAUAUUUUGAUCUGAAACAAAUAAGUGUUUCAAACAUGCAAAAAAAUAGAAUAAAUCAAGAAAGGAGCAAAAACUUUUUCACUCCACUGCGGGUAGUUUUUUUUUUUUUUACAAGGUAACCACAUCAUUAAUAUUAGACUUCACACAUUGUAGCAAAAGGCAUGGAAUUCUAAAAUGGUGGUACACAAACAAGACAAAUGGGAAAUGAGAAUAUCAACUUGGUGACCCUGAGAUAAGUCAUUCAUUUUACGUGAAGAUCUACUUGUGGGCCCACUUAUUUUACUACGAGAAACGCAUGGAAAAGCAAAAUAUUAUAAAAUCCCCUGUUAUAAUUAUUGCGCAUUUAAGGUAUCCAAUGUAAAAACUAUGUGUGCUGCAUAAACUUUAUAAUGUCAUGACAUCACAAUAUAAGCUUGUAAUAUAAUUUAAUGGUGUACCCAUUAUAAACAGUGUAACACUGGGUAUGGACAAUUAAACAACAAUAUUAUAGUAACCCUAUGAACAUUUUUUUUAACAUAAAACACUGGCAGUGAGUUAUGUUAGCAAUUUUUUUGUAAUUUCAGACUGCUAUUAUUAUUAUUAUUUUGUAGAUUCUAUGAUUCUAGAUACUAUGUCUAUAGGGGGCAUUCAAUUUACUGUGGGCUAAUUGAUCCCCCAGGGCUAUCCAAUUAGGUCUGUGGUACAGUCGCUAAUAUCAGGCAUUUUAAUUCGGAACCUUAACAGGCUUUAAAAAAAAAAAGCUUGAUUAAAGGUCAUUUUUUGUCAAUCCGGAAGCGAAAAACACAUAGGACCGUUAACUUAUUACAGAUUCUAUGGGGAUGAUUCAAUUGCUUUACGUCCUGCCAGCCACUAGAUGGCGUCCAAUGGAGCAAUUCAAUUGUUGCUCCAAUUGGAUGUGAACUGCUGCCAGCACCAGCAUUUCAGCUCGUAGCACUCCCGUGCUGGCGAGCUGAAAUUAGUGAAAAGUCUGGCUGCCCAAACAGCACUUUUCGCAUCGCGCCCAGCACUAUGGUCGAGUUUAGCCAUUCUAUGCAGCUAAACCCAGCCUGUCUGGGCAUGAUCAGUGCCAAAAUUCUUUUGGGAAUAUCGCCCCUCCAAUCUCCAGUCACUGUAGAUAAACAAUUGAAUUGCCCCCAUGUGUUUUCAACCGAAAAUGUAUAUAUUUUUUUACUGCGCAAAAAAAUGGGGGUUAAUUGAAUAGCCUGCAAAUUAUGUUAUUUUUAAAUGAAAAAAUAACAUAUUGGUUCUAAGUGAAUUUUCCCUACUGUAUAUUUGGAAUCCAAAAUAUGUUUUAUGCCCGCUCUAUGACAUCCCCCUCCUUCUUUUCCCCCUUCUGCCAUGACAUUACAGGCUGAGAGCUGAGACACUGUGUCAGCUCUCCAGAGAAGUAAUUAACAGGAGACAAUAAUCUGUAGGAGGAUGCAUAACUAUCAGAUGCAUACUUGAAACAGAAUUUAUUGCUUAAAGGGCAAAUAUCUUAAUAAGGUGCACAAAAUUCUGUGUCCUGUUAUAUGACAUUCAGGGUUUGUCAUAUAAACCAUAUGUAUAUUUUCAUACUACAGCAAAAUACAUUUUUAUAUUUGUGGUAAAAACGUAACAAGAACCAGAACACCAAUGAUCGCACUACAUUACUAUAUACAGUACAGUGUGAAAUUGUAUUGAAAGUUGAUACCUCAGCUUUAUCUAAGGACCUUUAUAAAAUUCCUUUAGCUGACUACUUAAGCAGAAUGUGGUCACUACAUUGAAAGCAAACAAUGCAUGUUAAAUUGUAGCACCUGCCACAAUUAGUUAAGUUGUUUCAAACUACAGACACAAAUGAAGCAUGACUUUAUGUGUAGAAAUCCAAUGACAAAUUGAACUGAAAGCAAAACAAAGUCUGUGUGGGCUUCAUGAUGAACAGAGGACCCCUGAAGAUGUAUUACAUCAUAUUAUAAACCCGAGUAUGUGGGAGUGUACACAGAAAAUGACAAGACAUUUCCAGGCCAAUGAUUUGUUCAGGCUGAGAAUGGUUGCCAGGGGCAAUAAGCGUUGAUCCCUUCAGCGCCAUAGAAGCCUCAAGCAAAAUCUCUAGCUAAUAUUGAUUUACUAUUCCCUCGUACUCUGAAUUAGCAUGUAAAGGAAAAUAUAAUGACUAUUACAAAAUGAAAGUGCUGGUCACUAAAACUGAAUCAUGGUUACGUAUAUAGUAAUACCUGCAUUAUGCUGAUACACUCUGUUAGAGCAGGAUGUACUGUAACUAGAACAUAUAAUUUGGCAUUAUUGCAAACAAAAGCAUUAGCAUAAUGAAGUAUUUUCUAGUAAUAAUCUUAUUUUAGAUGCACAGAAUGUUAAUUUACUAUUUUCCUGCUGAAAUUAUAUUACAUAAUUUGUCAUUCUGCAGCUGAUCGACCUUAGAG